rnacentral:rRNA from 1 species
AUGGACGAGGAGGAGCACGAGGUGUACGGCCAGGAGAUCCCCGUGGACGGCGACAUGGAAGCCGCCGACGUCGACAUGACCGCCGCCGGAGACGACGCAGCGAAGGUCCACCCCUGCCCCCACCCCCACCCCACCCCCAUCCCUCGGAUCCCUGUUUCCGCGCUAAACCCUAAACCUAGUUUAGUUCUGACCGUGCGCUUCUCGCGGCUGCAGGAGCUGGACGAGAUGAAGCGAAGGCUCAAGGAGAUGGAGGAGGAGGCCGCCGCCCUGCGCGACAUGCAGGCCAAGGUCGCCAAGGAGAUGCAAGGAGGAGAUGCCAAUGCGUCUACAGCUGAGGCAAAGGAGCAGGUGGAUGCUCGCUCUGUUUAUGUCGGAAAUGUUGAUUAUGCGUGUACACCAGAGGAAGUGCAGCAGCAUUUCCAAGCUUGUGGAACUGUCAACAGAGUGACAAUCUUGACCGACAAGUUUGGACAGCCAAAAGGAUUUGCUUACGUGGAAUUUCUAGAACAAGAAGCCGUUCAGGAGGCUCUUAAUCUGAAUGAAUCUGAAUUGCAUGGUCGUCAGAUCAAGGUAUCACCAAAGAGGACAAACGUCCCUGGGAUGAAGCAGCGUCCUCCACGCGGAUUCAAUCCCUAUCAUGCCUACCCUUAUAGAUCAUACGGGGCACCGUAUUUCCCACCGUACGGAUAUGGGAGAGUUCCCAGAUUCCGCCGGCCGACACGCUACAGGCCGUACUUUUGA